GACGAACGCUGGCGGCGUGCUUAACACAUGCAAGUCGAACGGAAAGGCCCUGCUUUUUUGGGGUGCUCGAGUGGCGAACGGGUGAUUAACACGUGAGUACCCUGCCCUUGACUUUAGGAUAACUUCAGGAAACUGGGUCUCAUACCGGAUAUGCGCUCCUGCUGCAUGGUGGGGGUUGGAUAGUUUCGUCGGUUGGGGCUGGACUCGCGUCGUAUCAGCUUGUUGGUGGGGUAGUGGAUUACCAAGGCUUUGACGGGUAGCCGGCCUGAGAGGGUGACCGGCGACACAGGGACUGAGAGACGGCAGAGACGGGUAAGGGAGGCAGAAGGGGGGAAUAUUGAACAAGGGGCGGAAGGCGGGUGAAGAAACGCUGCGUGUGGGAAGACGGUCUUGGGGGUGAAAACAGCGUAGGGGUUAAAAGAAGCGGGAGUGACGGUAAUGGGUAAAGAAGCACCGGCUAACUAAGUG
rnacentral:rRNA from 1 species